CAUCAUUAUGAUCAUCAUCAUCAUCUCCCACAUCUUUCUACUUCGCUUUGCUCUGGCUCUCUCUCUCUCUCUCUCUCUCUCUCUCGCGCACUCACUGGGCAGGAGACUGGAGUGGGGAGAAAGAAAGCGCAGCAAAUUGAAAUGGCGGCAUCAUCUCCACCACCACCUCCUCCUCCUCCGCCUCCUCUCCACCCGCAUUUGCGUAUUCCCUACUCUGCCCCUGCCCGCCUCCUGCUUUUCCUGUUGCUUAUAACUCACCCCGUUUCUUUGGCGGUUAACAUCACCGCCGUGCUCUCAGCCUACCGCGACCUCUCCGACUUCAAUCGCCUACUUAGCUCCACCUCCGUCCCCGGCGACCUCGCGGGACGCUCCUCCCUCACCAUCCUCGCCGUCCCCAACGCCUACCUCCUCCGCUCCUCGGCCGCCCGCACCGCCGCGGCCUCUGACAUCGCCGACGUCCUCCGCUACCACGUCCUCCUCGAGUACCUCUCGUGGCCCGACCUCCGCCGCAUCCCGACCGGCGGGAAGCUCGUCACCACUCUGUACCAGACCACCGGCAGGGCCGCCGGAAACCUCGGCGCCGUCAACCUCACCCGCGACGAGGGGGGCGGCGUCACCGCGCGCUCGCCCGCCCCCUUCUCCGCCUCCAACGCCACCAUCCUCGACCUCGUCGGCACCCACCCCUACAACGUCUCCGUCUUCGCCGUCAACGCGCUCCUCCUCCCCUACGGGUUCGACCUCGCCGCCUCGGAGACGCGCCCUCCCGUCGGGGUCAACAUCACGCGGGUCCUCUUCGACGGCCGCGACUUCAACGUGGCCGCCUCCAUGCUCGAGGCGUCGGGCGUCGCAGCAGAGUUCGAGGCCGACGAGCGCGGCGCCGGAAUCACCGUCUUCGUCCCCACCGACGAGGCCUUCGCAGAUCUCCCGGCCACCGAGCGGCUGCAGUCUUUGCCGGCGGACCGCAAGGCGGUGGUGCUCCGCUUCCACGUGCUCCACUCCUACUACCCCCUCGGCUCCCUCGAGUCCAUCGUCAACCCCGUCCAGCCCACGCUCGCCACCGAGGACACCGGCGCCGGCCGCUUUACCCUCAACAUCACGCGUGUCAACGGCUCGGUGGCCAUCGACACCGGCGUGGUCCAGGCGUCCAUCACGCGCACCGUGUUCGACCAGAACCCGGUGGCCGUAUUCGCCGUCUCCAAGGUGCUACUGCCGAGGGAGAUCUUCCCGGGGGAGACCAGCGGAGCGAUGCAGGCGGCAGCCGCUGCGCCGCCGCCGGUGGAGGCGGCGGGUCUCCCGCCGCAGGGGGCCGAGGACUGGGACACGCCGCCGGCGAGGCUGUCGUCGCCGCCGGGCCUCAGAGAGGAGCUUACGUCCGGGGCGGCCGUCCGCGAUGGGGUUGCCGUGUCCUGUAUAGCGUCGCUCUUUCUAAUGCAGCUGCUGAGAAAGCAACUUGAUAGCCGAUCUUACCUGGUGGAUCUGGUUCUUCUUUACUUUCUCUUUUUUUUUUCCUUCUUUCUCAAGAUUAAGCAAACAAGUACAAUCGAAGGGGCUGUUGAAGUUUCAGUCAACAGGGAAAUCUGCGUCAUGAUUUUGACUGUGUUCGAGGGGCUUUAUGAUUUUGGGCAGGAAAGGUGAAAAAUGUUUUGUACGAAAAGGGGAUUUGGAUUCACAAGAAGGAUACUUGUUCUCACAGGUGGAAGGCCUUGGUGACUCAAAUCAGCAUUCUAUUGCUAUUUUAAGGAAUUGGGAGAUGCUGCUUACCCAUUUUUUUGUUCACCAUGGAGAGAGAAUAUAGAUCUAAAGGGAGAAAAAGAAUAAAGAUAUAACUCAGAACUCUGUCUCAACUUGCACUUACGCGAUGCGGAGUGGGGCAUGUGCUAGAAGUUGCAUCAGCACCAACACAUUAAAACCUUAUGCAUGUUGGAGGUUGAGUUUGUGGAUGGCACAUUGCAUCUCAAUGUCAUUAGACCCUGAGCCAGGAAAUUGCGAACCGAGGAAAGCACAACAUGUUUUUAUCAAGUUUCAGUCACGAGCGAUUUGGUGCCAAAUCCUGAAAGAUCGAUGAAGAAUGAGAUUUUAUGUUAGACAUUUUGCGCUUUCAUUACUCGUGUGAUACUGUAAUGCUCUAAUUUGUUAUAUUGGUGAACCAAGUCAAUGGAAGAUGGAUUUCUUCUGUAUAUGCUGCUAUAGUUUUGUCAAAUCGUGACACCAUGUGAGCGUAGCAUGAGUUUGGAUCACAUGUUGAAUGUUUUUACCGAGUCCAGGAAAUCCUAAAGCAUUGGAUUUGAGAUUUGUUCUGGUAGAACAAAAUGAGAUGGUUGUGGAUCUGACCGUGACGACUGAGGCCUAAUGCUUCAGCAUAUGAAACUCAUGGUCUAAUGUUUGCUGUGUCUUUUGGCUUUGACUUGGGAAUGUAUAUAGAAUCCAGAGGAUAUGCUUGCCAUAA